AGUAUGCCUGAGGAGGUGCCAGUCUCUAUUGUGUCAGACCGUGACACUAGGUGCUUGUGCAACAAAGUGGUUCACUUAGUAAAAGUCUCAUGGUAUACCCAUUGUGAUGAAGAGGCAACUGGGAUGGUGAAGAGAUAUGAGAAAUGUCUAUCCCAAGUUCUUCCGAGAGAUAUCAACUUUCGAGGACGAAAGUUUUUAAGGAGGGGAGAAUUUGUAAUACCCGAGCCUCAAUUGAAAGUUUAAAAUCUAAGUUUACCUUAAAAGUCGAUCUCUCUCAAUUUUAUUGAAGGUCUUAAAGACCAAAAUCCGAGAUGAGACGGAAGAGAAAAAUGAUGAGGAAUAAAAGAACGGAAGAAAAAUAUAAAGGAAAAAUGAUAGAAAACUAAAAGGAUGGUCCAGGUAAAUCCCUGGAGGGUAAUUUGGUCAUUAUACCUCCUUUUUAGUAACAUACGAAUAAAAGAGAAAAAGGAAAAAAAUAAAGGGGAAAAGGAAGAGAAGGAGAAAGUGCGGAAAGAAAAGAAUGUAAAUAGUGAGAGAGAAAAUUAUAGAGAGAGAAGGAAAGUUCUAGAGAGAGAGGGAGGUAACCGCCGCUCCGGCCACGAGGAGUCCGGUUCCGGUCGAGCCUUCAUGAAAUCUUCACAGAACUUAGAGAAGAACAUUCUUAACUUUUAGAUCGUCCAAAACCAUCCAGAAACGAGGAAAAAUCUAAAGAGGAUUACGCUCAAAAUCUGUGAAGAAAUUUGGCCGAGACCUCAACCCAAAGGCGGAGAUCCGAGGGUCAUCCGAGAACGGUGAGCGAACUUCCGGCGUUCUUAAAUCCUCCAUGGUCAAGAAAAAAAUUAUAAAAAGGAUACUAGGAAUCAUAUUGAUCCGAUCUACGGAUCGAAAGAUAUGAAAAUCGGAAAAAACAAAACCGACUGGGUUUCGGUUUUCAGAGGACAGAGAAGAA